rnacentral:rRNA from 1 species
GACGAACGCUGGCGGCGUGCCUAAUACAUGCAAGUAGGACGCAGUUGCGAACGGGUGAGUAACGCGUAGGUAACUGCUUAUUAGAGUGGGCUUACUAUUGGCAAGGUUCGCUAAUACCGCAUACUAGUAGAUUGACCUACGUUGUAUUAGCUAGUAGGUAGGGUACUGGCUGACCUAGGCAACGUUACAUAGCAGACCUGUGAGGGGGAUCAGCCACACGGGGACGGAGACACGGCCCCGACUCAUACGGGAGGCAGCAGUAGGGAAUCGUCGGCAAUGGGCGAAAGCCUGAUCCAGACAUGCCGCGUGUGUGAAGAAGGUCUGCGGAUUGUAAAGCACUUUAAGUUGGGAGGCGUUACCAACAGAAUAAGCACCGGCUAACUUCGUGCCAGCAGCCGCGGUAAUUC